GAUGAACGCUGGCGGCGUGCUUAACACAUGCAAGUCGAACGGAAAGGCCCAAGCUUGCUUGGGUACUCGAGUGGCGAACGGGUGAGUAACACGUGGGUGAUCUGCCCUGCACUUCGAGAUAAGCCUGGGAAACUGGGUCUAAUACUGGAUAGGACCACUUCUUGGAUGUUGUGGUGGAAAGUUUUUUCGGUGUGGGAUGAGCUCGCGGCCUAUCAGCUUGUUGGUGGGGUAAUGGCCUACCAAGGCGUCGACGGGUAGCCGGCCUGAGAGGGUGUACGGCCACAUUGGGACUGAGAGACGGCCCAGACUCCUACGGGAGGCAGCAGUGGGGAAUAUUGCACAAGGGGCGCAAGCCGGAUGCAGCGACGCCGCGUGGGGGAUGACGGCCUUCGGGUUGUAAACUCCUUUCGCUAGGGACGAAGCGUUUUGUGACGGUACCUGGAGAAGAAGCACCGGCUAACUACGUG
rnacentral:rRNA from 1 species